CCACCAGCCGCUAUUGUUGUCCUGCGAGGAAAAUGUAAGGCGGAGGAACAUGGCCCCAUCGCACAGCGGAUCAAAGAACACGUGGCAGAGAGAUUGGCUGUUUACAAGGGACUACACGGCGGGAUAGUUUUCGCUGAAGAGCUGCC
rnacentral:lncRNA from 1 species